rnacentral:rRNA from 1 species
UACGUAGGGUGCAAGCGUUGUCCGGAAUUAUUGGGCGUAAAGAGCUCGUAGGCGGUCUGUCGCGUCGGCUGUGAAAUCCCGAGGCUCAACCUCGGGUCUGCAGUCGAUACGGGCAAACUAGAGUAUUGCAGGGGAGACUGGAAUUCCUGGUGUAGCGGUGAAAUGCGCAGAUAUCAGGAGGAACACCGGUGGCGAAGGCGGGUCUCUGGGCCAUUACUGACACUGAGAAGCGAAAGCAUGGGGAGCGAACAGG